GCAAACUUGGUCAUUUAGAGGAAGUACAAGUCGUAACAAGGUUUCCGUAGGUGAACCUGCGGAAGGAUCAUUAACAAAUCAAUAAUUAGUGUUUUCGGGGAUGAUUGUCAUUUAUUACAUUCAUUUGUCUUUGAUGACGUGAUUCCCCCGAAUAUACAUACGUGCUCCGGCCCGCACUGCCACGUCGAGUGGUGGUGACUUUGGGGCCGGGUGCAACACACACACAUGCUUUUAUUGUAAGUUGUUGUUAUUGUGUGGUUAUAUUAUUACUGUGUUGUGAUGGUCACGCGCUACUGGUAUAAUAAUAGUUAGUAGUGUGUUGUGUCGCCAGCGUGUAUAAUAACGCACUAUUAUUAAUAAUAAUACUAAGAACACUUUUAACAAUGGAUCUCUUGGCUCUUGCAUCGAUGAAGAACGCAGC
rnacentral:misc_RNA from 1 species